rnacentral:rRNA from 1 species
GACGAACGCUGGCGGCGUGCUUAACACAUGCAAGUCGAACGAAGAGCGAUGGAAGCUUGCUUCUAUCAAUCUUAGUGGCGAACGGGUGAGUAACGCGUAAUCAACCUGCCCUUCAGAGGGGGACAACAGUUGGAAACGACUGCUAAUACCGCAUACGAUCUAAUCUCGGCAUCGAGGAUAGAUGAAAGGCGGCCUCUACAUGUAAGCUAUCACUGAAGGGGGGGAUUGCGUCUGAUUAGCUAGUUGGGGGGGUAACGGCCCACCAAGGCGAUGAUCAGUAGCCGGUCUGAGAGGAUGAACGGCCACAUUGGGACUGAGACACGGCCCAGACUCCUACGGGAGGCAGCAGUGGGGAAUCUUCCGCAAUGGACGAAAGUCUGACGGAGCAACGCCGCGUGAGUGAUGACGGCCUUCGGGUUGUAAAGCUCUGUUAAUCGGGACGAAAGGCCUUCUUGCGAAUAGUGAGAAGGAUUGACGGUACCGGAAUAGAAAGCCACGGCUAACUACGUG